UACAGAGGUCCCGAGCGUUGUUCGGAUUCAUUGGGCGUAAAGGGUGCGUAGGCGGUUUCCUAAGCUUGAUGUGAAAUCCCGGGGCUUAACCCUGGAAUUGCAUUGAAUACUGGGAGACUAGAGUACUGGAGAGGAAACUGGAAUUUACGGUGUAGCAGUGAAAUGCGUAGAGAUCGUAAGGAAGACCAGUGGCGAAGGCGAGUUUCUGGACAGUUACUGACGCUGAGGCACGAAGGCCAGGGGAGCAAACGGG
rnacentral:rRNA from 1 species